CAGUAGCCGCGGUAAUACGUAGGGUGCAAGCGUUAAUCGGAAUUACUGGGCGUAAAGCGUGCGCAGGCGGUUAUAUAAGACAGAUGUGAAAUCCCCGGGCUCAACCUGGGAACUGCAUUUGUGACUGUAUAGCUAGAGUACGGCAGAGGGGGAUGGAAUUCCGCGUGUAGCAGUGAAAUGCGUAGAUAUGCGGAGGAACACCGAUGGCGAAGGCAAUCCCCUGGGCCUGUACUGACGCUCAUGCACGAAAGCGUGGGGAGCAAACAGGAUUAGAUACCCGGGUAGUCACUGUCUCUUAUAC
rnacentral:rRNA from 1 species